AAAACGCUUUCAGUCCAAUCACUCUUGAAUAAAAUGAAACAUAAAACUUUUAUCCAACAGUUUCCUCCAACAUAAUUACCUCCAGUUUUGAAUUUUAAAAGUCAGGACACAGGACAUACACUGUCAGGGUAAAAUCCCAAUGAUCAAACUAUUCAUCAGACAUACCCUAAAAGUAGAAAAUGUAAGUAAAGAAUAAAGUAUAAGUGAACUGAGAAAUGGUUGUGAGUGGCAUUUUAGUGGAAAUUGCUCUAUUCUAACAAGCAAUGAAUAUAAUUAAAUAUUGAUCACUCUGUCAGCUAUAGCAGACAACUGUACAUUCAUCUUACAAUCGAUGCUAGCAAAUGUUGAUCUUAACAUACAGUGUACAGGUUAACCAUUUGACCUAUCCAGUUGAGCUGUAUUUAAAAAAAAAACUCUUAAUUAAAAGUAUAUCUGAGAGCUUCCAUUACACUCUUAUUCGCGACAAACAUUUAAUCCAUGCCAAUGAGCCAACAUGCACAUCACCAGAGCCCUGAUAGUGGCACACCUAAGUACAAUACAGCUAUUAAUAAUGUUAUUAGCUACGCCUGUGUUUGACGAGUCAAAUUAUAAUAGGAAGGUCUGACAUUACAGGACAAACUAAUUUCUUCGAUUGUAUCGUAAUACAAUACUCAUGUGCCCAUACGCACAUCAAAAGAGUUACUGGUCACUGUUGUUGUUCCUUCUGUCCAUACUUGACUUGAGGCUGGGCACUGUAGUUUUAAGCAAACACUACUCAAACAGGAGUAAAUAGAGCAUUUGCUGGGGACUAUUUUCUGCCAUGGAUUUGGUGCUUUAGUGAGGUACUUUCAGCAGCAGGACUGUAUGUGGGAUUGACUCAAAAUAAACUACAGUGCCAAAGUUCAUGUGUUAUAACCUGGCUCAAGUGGCCACAACAAAAGGGAAACACACCAUGUCAACAUUUAAACAAGAUAUUUUAUAAAAUCCAAAUUAAACCAAAUUAAAGAAUGAACUAAGUAUAAAAGGCAUGGAGUGUCAAUAACAGUAGCAUCAGUGGUGUAUGGUGUGCAUGAGCGUAAGAUGUGUGUGUGCAUUGUGAGGUGCAAGAAAUUAAAGGAUAACAAAACUAAGGCAACAUAACUAAACCAAACAAAAACAGGUAACUGGAGGGGAGAGAAGAGAACGACACAUAGAGAGAGCGCUGCCUCAGCUGCAGCCCAGUGUUAAUAACCUGGCCACACCAAGGGCCCUAAGGUGACACCAGUUGCCCUAAUGAGCACCUGAAGAAACAGAGCAGACAGGUAAAUCCUAAAGCCAAACACAGAUGACACCAUAUGGUAAUGAAGGAACAUGUCACCCAGUGAAACAGUGUGGCUCAUUGAUGUAUUUUUAAUAGUUUCUGGACAACUGUAGAAGUCACUGGCACAGAGGAGCUUUGGAUACACAGGUAAUUCUGGUUAGGAUCAGUUUAUUGUUGGUUUUCUUUUUUUCCAUAGGAAUUGGGAUAUUAUAGGUAAACUUGGAAAAAUCUGACCCACUCCUUUAAGUUGCCUUUAAGCAAGGUGUCAACAUUGAUCUUUUCAUAUAUAAACAUUUGAAAUGGGCCCAUAUUUAUUUUCUGAUGUAAUGUGUGCCAUAGCUGGUCCCUGUCAAUGUAAUUAUGAUAUUGUUGUGAGAUAAUAGAAUUCUAGAACUCAACUUUAUGACAUAGUGUUUAUUACAUCACAAUAGAAUGGAUUAAGUUGCCUGUGAUUUCUGGAUUCUGGACUCAUUUAGUUAAAAACACAUUGCAGAGCCUGCAGUUUUUCCUUGAAGACGAACAGUUUUUUUCAGAAAUACAUAUUUCUGCAACAGACAAUCACCAACUUAUAGCUGCUUCGUAAUUUACAGUUUUACAGACCAAUUCAAAGUCACAAUGGAUGGAAGAGGAGACGGAAGCCACAAUGGUCGAAAUCGUCCAAUUAUUCCACUGCCUUUUUUGCCAAGAGGAGAUCGGCCACCAGCAGAUCAGCUUAACCUGGUACUGAUUGCCUGGAUGGACUUUCUCAUAAAUCAUGGAGAAGAGUUGGGCUUUGGCGUAGUGCUGGGUGUGUUCCAGGGACCAGAGAACCAACAUGAUGCUGACAACAAUGUUAACAAUAACAAUAAUAACAACAACGACAAUGGAGACAUCAACAACUACAAU